rnacentral:rRNA from 1 species
CCUACGGGAGGCAGCAGUGGGGGAUAUUGCACAAUGGGGGGAACCCUGAUGCAGCGACGCCGCGUGGGUGAAGACGCGCCUACGCGUGUUAAGCCCUGUUUGCAGGGAAGCAAAUGACGGUACCUGAAGAAGAAGCCCCGGCUAACUACGUGCCAGCAGCCGCGGUAAUACGGAGGGGGCCAGCGUUAUCCGGAUUUACUGGGGGUAAAGGGGGCGCAGUCGGCGAUGCAAGCCAGGAGGGAAAGCCCGGGGCCCAACCCCGGGACUGCUCUUGGAACUGCGUGGCUGGAGUGCAGGAGGGGCAGGCGGAAUGCGUGGUGUAGCGGUGAAAUGCAUAGAUAUCAGGAGGAACACCGGUGGCGAAGGCAGCCUACUGGACUGCAACUGACGUUGAGGCCCGAAAGCGUGGGGAGCGAACAGGAUUAGAUACCCGGGUAGUC